rnacentral:misc_RNA from 1 species
UUUCCGUAGGUGAACCUGCGGAAGUAUCAUUAUUGGAUUUUGAAACUUCAGGCUGCUGCUGGCUCUCCUCGGAGGGCAUGUGCACGCUUGUUGUCCAUUAUUUCUCCCACUGUGCACAAAUUGUAGACCUUUCAGUAGGCCUAUGUUGUUUUUCACAAUCUCUGAAUGUAAUAGAAUGGUUUUGAAUCUUGGGAAAUACAAUACAACUUUCAGCAACGGAUCUCUUGGCUCUC